rnacentral:tRNA from 2 species
GCGGGUGUCGUAUAACGGCUAUUAUAUCAGCUUCCCAAGCUGAGGACGGCGGUUCGACUCCGCUCACCCGCUCCA